CUUGAAUAUCUAUAAGAGGUCCAGCCUGCCCAGUGACUUUGUUCAACGGCCGCGGUAUCCUAACCGUGCGAAGGUAGCGUAAUCACUUGUCUUUUAAAUGGGGACUUGUAUGAAUGGCAUCACGAGGGUUAUACUGUCUCCUUUUUCUAAUCAGUGAAACUAAUCUUCCCGUGAAGAAGCGGGAAUAAACAUAUAAGACGAGAAGACCCUAUGGAGCUUUAAACUCAAUAACAAAUACUAACCUUACAUCAACUUUCAGAAGAUCAACCUUAAUUUUAGUAUUAUGAUUGUUAGUUUUAGGUUGGGGUGACCGCGGAGUAAAAAUUAACCUCCACACUGAACGGGACCUGUCCCUGAGCCAAGAACUACAGCUCGAAGCACCAACAAAUUGACAUUAAUUGACCCAAUAUUUUGAUCAACGAAC
rnacentral:rRNA from 1 species